rnacentral:rRNA from 1 species
GCUAGGGGGUCAUCCCGACUUACCAACCCUUUGCAAACUCCGAAUACCAGUAAGUACUAUCCGGGAGACACACGGCGGGUGCUAACGUCCGUCGUGGAGAGGGAAACAACCCAGACCGCCAGCUAAGGUCCCAAAUUACUACUAAGUGGGAAACGAUGUGGGAAGGCUCAGACAGCCAGGAUGUUGGCUUAGAAGCAGCCAUCAUUUAAAGAAAGCGUAAUAGCUCACUGGUCGAGUCGGCCUGCGCGGAAGAUGUAACGGGGCUAAGUAGUAAACCGAAGCUGCGGCAAUGUGCUUUUGCACAUUGGGUAGGGGAGCGUUCUGUAAGCGGUUGAAGGUGUGUGGUAACGCAUGCUGGACGUAUCAGAAGUGCGAAUGCUGACAUGAGUAACGAUAAAGGGGGUGAAAAACCUCCUCGCCGGAAGACCAAGGGUUCCUGUCCAACGUUAAUCGGGGCAGGGUAAGUCGACCCCUAAGGCGAGGCCGAAAGGCGUAGUCGAUGGGAAACGGGUUAAUAUUCCCGUACUUCUUACAAUUGCGAUGGGGGGACGGAGAAGGCUAGGUGGGCCUGGCGACGGUUGUCCAGGUUCAAGUGCGUAGGCUUAAGAGUUAGGUAAAUCCGGCUCUUUUUAAGGCUGAGACACGACGUCGAGCAUCUACGGAUGUGAAGUCAUUGAUGCCAUGCUUCCAGGAAAAGCCUCUAAGCUUCAGAUUGUAAGGAAUCGUACCCCAAACCGACACAGGUGGUCGGGUAGAGAAUACCAAGGCGCUUGAGAGAACUCGGGUGAAGGAACUAGGCAAAAUGGUACCGUAACUUCGGGAGAAGGUACACUCUCGACGGUGAAGUCCCUCGCGGAUGGAGCUAUUGAGAGUCGCAGAUACCAGGUGGCUGCAACUGUUUAUUAAAAACACAGCACUGUGCAAAAUCGUAAGAUGACGUAUACGGUGUGACGCCUGCCCGGUGCCGGAAGGUUAAUUGAUGGGGUUAGACUUCGGUCGAAGCUCUUGAUCGAAGCCCCGGUAAACGGCGGCCGUAACUAUAACGGUCCUAAGGUAGCGAAAUUCCUUGUCGGGUAAGUUCCGACCUGCACGAAUGGCGUAAUGAUGGCCACGCUGUCUCCACCCGAGACUCAGUGAAAUUGAAAUCGCUGUGAAGAUGCAGUGUACCCGCGGCUAGACGGAAAGACCCCGUGAACCUUUACUACAGCUUGGCACUGAACAUUGACCCUACAUGUGUAGGAUAGGUGGGAGGCUUUGAAGCACGUACGCCAGUAUGUGUGGAGCCGUCCUUGAAAUACCACCCUUGUAGUGUUGAUGUUCUAACGUCGACCCCUUAUCGGGGUUGCGGACAGUGCCUGGUGGGUAGUUUGACUGGGGCGGUCUCCUCCCAAAGAGUAACGGAGGAGCACGAAGGUGGGCUAAUCACGGUUGGACAUCGUGAGGUUAGUGCAAUGGCAUAAGCCCGCUUGACUGCGAGAAUGACAAUUCGAGCAGGUGCGAAAGCAGGUCAUAGUGAUCCGGUGGUUCUGAAUGGAAGGGCCAUCGCUCAACGGAUAAAAGGUACUCCGGGGAUAACAGGCUGAUACCGCCCAAGAGUUCAUAUCGACGGCGGUGUUUGGCACCUCGAUGUCGGCUCAUCACAUCCUGGGGCUGAAGUCGGUCCCAAGGGUAUGGCUGUUCGCCAUUUAAAGUGGUACGCGAGCUGGGUUUAGAACGUCGUGAGACAGUUCGGUCCCUAUCUGCCGUGGGCGUUGGAAGAUUGAAGGGGGCUGCUCCUAGUACGAGAGGACCGGAGUGGACGAACCUCUGGUGUUCGGGUUGUGUCGCCAGACGCAUUGCCCGGUAGCUAAGUUCGGAAUCGAUAACCGCUGAAAGCAUCUAAGCGGGAAGCGAGCCCUGAGAUGAGUCUUCCCUGAUACUUUAAGUAUCCUAAAGGGUUGUCGGAGACUACGACGUUGAUAGGUCAGGUGUGUAAGUGCUGUGAGGCAUUGAGCUAACUGAUACUAAUUGCCCGUGAGGCUUAACCAU